AUAGCGUAUAUUAAAGUUGUUGCAGUUAAAAAGCUCGUAGUUGAAUUUCGGGGUCAGUAGGUCGGUCGUUCCACUGGUAUGAACUGGUUUUACUGAUUCCUCCCUCUUGAAGAACUGUAAUGCCAUUAAUUUGGUGUUGCAGGGAAUCAGGACUGUUACUUUGAAAAAAUUAGAGUGUUUAAAGCAGGCUUUAGCUUGAAUACAUUAGCAUGGAAUAAUGAAAUAGGACGUUUGAUCCUAUUUUGUUGGUUUCUAGGAUUGACGUAAUGAUUAAUAGGGAUAGUUGGGGGCAUUAGUAUUCAAUUGUCAGAGGUGAAAUUCUUGGAUUUAUUGAAGACUAACUACUG
rnacentral:rRNA from 1 species